AUCUUCCAUUUCACCCCAAUACCUAACUCAGGUUUGAUUUUAUUAAUAAGAACUUUUAAGAUUCCUGCUACAGUGUAAACAUUUCUAAUCCCAGCCCACCUAUGGGAAAUGAAGGCUUCACAUAAAUGAAGAGACCUUGGGUAAAUCUGAUUUUAACUAACCUAUCACAGGUACUUCGCUGGAGUUGGAAACAUUCUUGCUGAGAUCAGCAAUAAGACAAGUGUACCCACCACCACCUUAUCAUGACUGCUGGAGAGCUGUGACAGCUGGCCACCUCUGCCAGAUGCAAAUGAAAAACCCAGGUGCUGAGACUUAGAAGAUUAAAGGCACAUGCCUUUAAUACCUACAUUCAGCUGGAAGAGACUCACCAGAUGAUGAGUAGGGGUCUGCUCUGAACUCCCUAAGGCCUGGGACUUGCAUGUCCAUCUCCCUAGGAGUUCAAGUAGCUUGAGCUGGAGACCCUGGAGCUGCAGGAGCAGAAGAACCCUACUAUCUGGCCAAGAGGACUCAGGGCAUCUUUCAAGGAGAGGGUGUGAAGAUACUUGAUUUUCCCUGAGGACUGGGAAUGUCCUGGAAAUGCGAUGGCCAUGUGGCCAGCCGAAGGCAGAUAUAGAGCUGCAGCAGGACCUGUGUGGGCUUGAUCACAUGAACAUUCAGCCUCACCACCAUUCCCUAAAAAAAAAAGCUCUCCAGUCUCAUGGGAAAAACCUGAGUCAGGGCCCUUCCCUGGGGAUAGGAAGAGGAGGGUAACAUCACAUCAGAACCCACAGAGGUCAUUCAGGUGGAGGUAUGAUCGAUCUAUCCUUGGCAUGGGCUUCUAUUAAGGGUGAAACCUUUGGCUGCUGAAUCUGAAUCCUCACCUCCACCCCCUACCCACACAUACUACAUUCCUACCUUAUGGCCCAAACUACCAGAGGAGAAGCAGGGAGUUCCCUGGUGUGUGGACAGCCUGGCCUGGGCUGGAGGGGUGAGAGGAGGGUGGAGCAGGCUGCUGACUGGACCUGAACAGGUACACUUACCUGCUGGGGACAACAGAGAGCCAGGCCUGAAGUCUGACUGCUCAGCCUCCUGAGCACCCCCAAUAAGGGAUAGGGGUCCACGGAGCCUAUGACAAAGCUAUUCCACCAAGGAUGUGCCCUGAGAGAGGCAAGGAGAGUGGGUGUGUCCUCUGAGCCAAGAACUUGUGUCUCUGAGUAUUUGGACAGAGGGCCAGGGUUCUUAAUCUGUGAGACACACAGGAGACCACUGCCUUCUUGGUAGUCUGCCUAAGGUCCUGCAGUGGUCCAGGCUACCCUGGGAUCAACAUUACCUUAGAGGGUCCUCAUGCUGUCUGAGCUCAGGAGCCUUGUAUCCUGCCUCAUCUCCAGCUUUGUCUUUAAUGGCCUUUCUCUUCACUCGCUGGCCUGGUGGAUAGAUUCUGAGUCUCUUGACUGCCAAAGUCCUUCACUCACAGGUUUGGGUUGACAGAGCAGGGGACUGGGGCCACUUGGGAUGCCCACCUUUCUGCUAGAAGAGGACUGGGACAGUUUGUUUUCCCUACAUAGAAGAAAGAGACACUGUGCCCCACACAGUGCCCCGAGCAGAGCUUUGGUAAAGUGUGAAGGUUCUGAAGGGAGCUUCCUGUUAUAGUCACCCUGUCCCUGGCUGCUAUGCUGGGGAGCCAAGCAGCUGACUUAAUGCUGGCUGACAGAGCCCCAGCUCUUCCUCAGAACAAUUUUUAGCCUAGAAAUGAUCAGUGCCCUUUGCCCAGCCUCAGAGGGUACCCCUGCAAGGACAGUCGAUUUGGAAGUGCCGUCUGCCCCUACCCGCUGGCGUGGUUCUGCCUGGGACUACUGCUGUUCUGUCCUAGGAUCUCGCUCCUUCCAAUUUCCAGCGAGGGGCUUCUGAGUCAUGGACUAUCAUAACCCAAUCUCUCUGACCAGUUCUUGGUUCUAAGCAGAAACAAGCGGGCACAGUGGGUCAGCAGGGUGGGCUGGGGAUGCCUUUAGUUAGCUAUCCCUAAGAUGAGCCUGUCCUGAGCACAGGAUUUUCUGUUUAUCAUCCUUACCCCCUACAUGCAUUGGCUGGAGCUGGUAUUUGAGGCUUUUAUAGAGCCUCACUUCCUCUUCUCUGAUUUAUGCUCCUCGGGAUGAGUUUUAUAGGAAACAGUCUCUGAGCUCCUGUGAGAUAAAAGGCAGCCCCUGCUCCUUCGAGACUCAGCCACUUUCCCCACCCCUCAUAGAUCUUCACACUCGGCUCAGGAGCGCAGCCUCCCACACUGCUGCCUCUGUCUGCCUAUCAGCCUCAGCCUGAGGUGUAAGAGUGAAUGAAGGCUAAGACUCUCUGCAGGGAUAGCUGUCAGGGAUGUGCCUCCCCCUUGUCAUGUAACAGUUUCCUCUGAGAUUGAAACACUUCAUCCUGCACAGAAGCCCUUAAACAAAAAGGUAAACAAAGGAGCUCCAGGAAGUCCCUGAAACUGAGCAGACUCCCUAAGCCCCACCCUGAUAGAGGAACAAAGACUGCUGAGAGUCACCCUCAGAUCAAAAGAGCCAAGCUUGCAAAGAAGAUUCUCCAGACCAGACAGCUGACUGGAAGAAGCAAAAACCAGUUCAGUUGCCAGGAAGAAGUUUAAGUCAGUUCAGUCACUUGGAAAGGACACUCUCCAACCUGUUGAGCUACCUAACGGCUGUGUAGUGUACUCCAGGUUCCCAGCUUUUGUAAUCUGUCACCCUUACUGGGAUGGGCUUUAGUGAUGUAGCUGUCUUUGAGUCAUUUCUGCCCCUGUAAGUAGCCGCUCACCUAUAUUUCUGCAAGUAAUCCCAAUAAAAGUCAUGGUUCACCAA